rnacentral:rRNA from 2 species
UGGGGAAUAUUGCACAAUGGGCGCAAGCCUGAUGCAGCGACGCCGCGUGAGGGAUGACGGCCUUCGGGUUGUAAACCUCUUUCAGCAGGGAAGAAGCGAAAGUGACGGUACCUGCAGAAGAAGCGCCGGCUAACUACGUGCCAGCAGCCGCGGUAAUACGUAGGGCGCAAGCGUUGUCCGGAAUUAUUGGGCGUAAAGAGCUCGUAGGCGGUUUGUCGCGUCUGCUGUGAAAACCUAAGGCUCAACCUUGGGCUUGCAGUGGGUACGGGCAGACUAGAGUGCGGUAGGGGUGACUGGAAUUCCUGGUGUAGCGGUGGAAUGCGCAGAUAUCAGGAGGAACACCGAUGGCGAAGGCAGGUCACUGGGCCGCAACUGACGCUGAGGAGCGAAAGCAUGGGGAGCGAACAGG